rnacentral:rRNA from 1 species
AGAGUUUGAUCCUGGCUCAGGACAAACGCUGGCGGCGUGCCUAAAACAUGCAAGUCGAACGGGCCACUUCGGUGGUCAGUGGCGGACGGCUGAGUAACACGUGGGUGACCUGCCUUCGCGCGGGGGACAACCGCCCGAAAGGGUGGCUAAUACCGCAGAUGUCGUCCAUUCGGUUGGAUGACUAAACCUCGAGAGGGGGCGCGGAGAGGGGCCCGCGGCCGAUUAGCUGGCUGGUGGGGUGACGGCCUACCAGGGCGACGAUCGGUAGCUGGUCUGAGAGGAUGAUCAGCCAGACUGGGACUGCGACACGGCCCAGACUCCUACGGGAGGCAGCAGUUAGGAAUUUUGGGCAAUGGGGGGAACCCUGACCCAGCAACGCCGCGUGGGUGAUGAAGGCCUUCGGGUCGUAAAGCCCUUUUCCACGGGACGAUGGUGACGGUACCGUGGGAAUCAGCCCCGGCUAACUACGUGCCAGCAGCCGCGGUAAUACGUAGGGGGCGAGCGUUGUCCGGAUUUAUUGGGCGUAAAGCGCUCGCAGGCGGUCGGCCGCGUCGCGCGUGAAGGCCCCCGGCUCAACCGGGGGUGGUCGCGGGAAACGGGUCGACUGGAGGUAGGUAGGGGGACGCGGAAUUCCCGGUGUAGUGGUGGAAUGCGUAGAGAUCGGGAGGAACACCGGCGGCGAAGGCGGCGUCCUGGACCUGGCCUGACGCUCAGGAGCGAAAGCGUGGGGAGCGAUCCGGAUUAGAUACCCCAGUAGUCC